rnacentral:rRNA from 1 species
ACGGGAGGCAGCAGUGGGGAAUAUUGCACAAUGGGGGAAACCCUGAUGCAGCGACGCCGCGUGAGUGAAGAAGUAUUUCGGUAUGUAAAGCUCUAUCAGCAAGGAAGAAAAUGACGGUACUUGACUAAGAAGCCCCGGCUAACUACGUGCCAGCAGCCGCGGUAAUACGUAGGGGGCAAGCGUUAUCCGGAUUUACUGGGUGUAAAGGGAGCGUAGACGGUAAGGCAAGUCUGAAGUGAAAUGCAGGGGCUCAACCCCUGAACUGCUUUGGAAACUGUCAAACUAGAGUGCAGGAGAGGUAAGUGGAAUUCCUAGUGUAGCGGUGAAAUGCGUAGAUAUUAGGAGGAACACCAGUGGCGAAGGCGGCUUGCUGGGCUCUAACUGACGCUGAGGCUCGAAAGUGUGGGGAGCAAACAGGAUUAGAUACCCUGGUA